rnacentral:rRNA from 1 species
UACGAAGGGGGCGAGCGUUAUUCGGAAUCACUGGGCGUAAAGCGUGCGUAGGCUGUUCGGUAAGUCAGAAGUGAAAGCCCAAGGCUCAACCUUGGAAGCGCUUUUGAAACUGCCGGACUCGGAUUUGGGAGAGGAUAGCGGAAUUGUCAGUGUAGCAGUGAAAUGCGUAGAUAUUGACAGGAACACCAGUGGCGCAAGCGGCUAUCUGGACCAACAUCGACACUGAGGCACGAAAGCGUGGGGAGCAAACAGG